CUCGCCAUUUUUAUACUCCACAUGUCAACUUUAUUUCCAAGUGACACAUCUGAUAUCAGACUUCGCCAAGUGGAUGCAUUUUAGCCGGCCCUUGGCUGGAGAAGCACAGAGCUCACCGCACACUCCAAACUUUUAUGACGCAUUUCUUUUUACAACUGAACAGCCCUCCUCUGGCAGAACACAGUGAAUCUAAGUCCCGUUAGGAGAGCGGGACUGGCUACAAUAACUGCACUGUUAUAAAAAAAAAAGAAGUCAGCACAGAGAACAGAUUUUUGCUGAGAUCUCCUUGUCAGAGACUUCCAGGAAGCGCAAUCUUCACAAAAAUGAUAGCACAAUUAAUGUAGUUAGUUUUCCUUUGCAGAACAUUCAGGACCUAGGAAAGAUUGGAUUCCAAUCCUGGCUGAAGCUCUGCUUGGCAAUAGGACUCGUGAAACUAUGGAUACUGGAUUCCCAGGAACUCAGAGGGAUUCUCUGCAUAUUUAUUUUGCUAAGAGAAAUAUUCUGAGCUCCAGGUUUUUAUCCUGAUCUCGAACAGCUGCACAAACUGAAAGUAAAAAGAGCAUAGCAACAAUGGCCUAAGAGCCCCGCAGUUUUCCUGAGCCAGUCCAUCCACCUCCAAGGUAUCUUUGGUUCAAAACGCUGCUCUGAUGUCUACAGAAGAACACAGUCCUGUCUAGACAUUGAACCAAACAAUUCCAAACAAGGAAUACAGUCCUUGAUGGAGCCUCCUUCUGAGCAGCUGUGGCCAUUGAGAAAAACAGUGACAGAAUGGGAAAGCACAGCAGGAAUGACUGAAGCUGUAGGAGGAGCUGGUAUCCCUGAUAACAGGCCUUGACCACCACUUGGCACUCUGUGGGCCUGGCAGCACAGCAUGAUUAGAAUUGGAAGGAAGAAACUUUGGGCAUCUUUAUUCUGCUUUACGGCCUUCUUUUUUCUUCUUGUUACACUCCAGGUGGUUCUUGAACUGGGCAAGUCUGAAAGGAAGAUAAAAGUCUCCAGUUUACAAGAUGGUUCAUUAAAACUGGAGGAGCAGCGGAAACAUGCAUAUCAGUUUUUUAAUAAACAGGAACUCUACAGCUAUACCAGGAGAGUUUUAGAUGCGGACAGAUACCCUAUCCUGCUCUGGUGGUCCCCGCUGACUGGCGAGACUGGGAGGUUAGGUCAGUGUGGACAGGAUGUCUGUUUCUUUACUAUCAAGAGGAUCUACCAGCAUAAUCACAUGACAAAAGCCUUUCUCUUCUAUGGUACUGACUUUAAUAUAGAUAGCUUACCCCUCCCUCGUAAACGCCAUCACGACUGGGCCCUUUUCCAUGAAGAGUCGCCCAAAAACAACUACAAGCUCUUCCACAAACCUACCAUCACCUUGUUCAACCAUACAGCUACCUUCAGUCGCCACUCCCAUCUGCCGCUGACUACUCAGUAUCUAGAGGGCAUAGAGGUCAUAAAGUCUCUGAGAUACAUGGUUCCGCUGCAAAAGAAGAAUAGCUUGAGAAAAGGACUUGCACCGCUUGUGUAUGUGCAGUCCGAUUGCGACCCUCCUUCAGACCGGGACAGCUACGUGCGUGAGCUGAUGAGCUACAUCCAGGUGGACUCCUAUGGUGAAUGCUUGCAUAACAGAGACCUUCCUCAGCACCUCAAAAACCCAGCCUCCAUGGACGAUGGUAACUUCUAUAGAAUACUUGCUCAGUACAAAUUCAUUCUGGCUUUUGAAAAUGCAGUCUGCGAGGAUUACAUCACUGAAAAACUCUGGAGGCCCCUCAAGUUGGGAGUGGUACCAGUGUACUAUGGGUCUCCCAGCAUUACGGACUGGCUUCCUAGCAAUAAGAGUGCAAUCCUUGUAACAAGAUUUUCACAUCCCAGAGAGCUGGCACACUACAUCAAGGCACUGGACACAAAUGACCAAGAGUACGAGGCCUACCUAGAAUGGAAACUGAAAGGGGCCAUCUCCAAUCAACGACUGCUCACUGCUAUCCGAGAACGCAAAUGGGGAGUCCAGGAUAUCACGCAGGACAAUUAUAUUGAUGUGUUUGAGUGCAUGGUGUGUAAUAGGGUGUGGGAAAACAUCAGAAGGCAGGAAAAGGGAUUGUCACCCAGGACAUGGAACGCACAAGUUAACCACCUGAGCUGCCCGAAACCUGAGGCUUUGUUCUCCUCUCCAAACAUACGCUGGACAUCUCUGCGAGAGAUGUGGAUACCAAGCUUUGAACAAUCCAAGAAAGAAGCCCAAGCACUGAGACAGCUGGUGGAAAGGAAUAUGAAUUUUACAGCUCAGGAAUUUUGGACACUUGUAUUCAAAGAAUAAACACGACAGGCUAUCACACAGAGCGAGCUCCCCAAAGGAGUGCGCUUUGUAAUAUUCUUUUGCACACUGCCUUAACAUCUGUAGGUCAAUAAGUACAGGAAGGAGUUAAAUUGUCCUGUAAGAUAGACUGCAGUAGGUACAGUACUCAGUAAGUACUGAUAAACUACAGAAUUACCCGAGCGGUUUUUUAAAAACUAUAUUUUUAUACUAAUUGUCGUUAGCUUGGACAUUUGAGCAUUAAGACCCCUACUAAGGAAGGUGCUCAAUGCACAUGCCUGAUUUUAAGCCUAUGAGUAGUCCCAGUGAAGCUAAUGGGACCACAGUCACUUGCUUAGUAACAGGCCCUUCCUUGCAGAAUCAGGCCCUUCGCCUUCUCUGACCCAAGCUCCCACAUCCCUGGGUUGACAUCCACAGGCUAUGGAAGAGUUUAUACAAUCACAUUGGUGUGACCUCUGUGGCAGCGUGCCUUUGAGACAGGUGUAGCGAUCAGGCUUGCUGCUGAGUAUGUCUGUUUAUCAUCAGUCCCCUUGGCAUUCACAGGUUUAGUUGAGACUUGGCAAGCUAAGACGUCCUGAGGCUGAGAAGGAAUGUAAAAUGCAUCAGUAUUUAGCACUGGGAAAUUCCAGCUGCUGCUUCCUGGGGACGGAAAGAAUGAAAAUGUGCUGGACAAUAAUAGCCGCACAAAGGUGAAAGGAUGCGAUUGGCUGAAGCAGGGAUUAAAUGAAGGGCCUGAUCCUGCUGCAAAGCCGUCCCUAUGUCGACGCUCGAAAUGCUACAGCGGCACAGCUGCAGCAGAGCUGUCGCAGAGUCAAAGGGCCCAGCCCGCUAUAGGAGCCAACCCAUGAGGCAUAUCGGAUAUCAGUGGGUAUGUCUACACUGCAAAAAUAACCCCCCCAACCAAAACUGUGCGAUGAGUCUCAGAGCCUGAGUCAACCGCGGGACUUGCACUACCGGGCUCAAAAUAGCGGAGAAGGCGUUCCCGCUCAGUCUGCAGCCAGUCUGUGAGACCAGCCCAAGUGGGAACAUCCACGCUACUAUUUUUAGCCCUGUUGCAUGAGCUCAAGUCAGUUGACUCAGGCUCAGACUGGCUGCCUUGUUUUUGGUUUGCAGUGUAGACAUACCCUGACAUGCAAUCUUCAGAAAAAUAGCCUGUUUUACCUUUUAACAUAACACCAAGAGCUGUAAAAUAUUGCGCGCUCUCUCUCUCUCUCUCUCUCUCUCUCUCUCUCUCUCUCUCUCUUAAGAAGCUGUGAAGAGGGUUGAUGCUGGAAUGAUCGGGCCAUCUGAGAGCGAUGAACUAAGCAUAAAGUAGGAGAACAAUGGAGCGACUAACUUAGAAAUCUUACACUGAAUCAAUGACUAAGAAAGUAAUUAAAGACAUACAAUAUAAGAAUUACUGUGUUCAUUUCAGUGCAGCGUGGGCCCUGGUCACACUGCUGGUGCAUGACUGGGCUCUCUCUUGCACACAGGAUGCUGAGAUGGGGUGGCACCCGUUGGAAAUUCAGCCAAAUACGUACUCAGGCGAGGCAUUAGAGAAGGUUGCCGAGGGAUCUUGAAGGCUGUAGGUGCUGCAUACUUGCCAUGUGUGUGAUGCCUUUUACCAGUCAUCUGCCCUGUGUCUGCCUUCCAAGAAAUAUGGUGAUACAAUGCGUGGUCUCCCAGCUGCCUUUCUGACAGUGGAUUGGGAAGAACAGCACAUGGGGCAUCUCUGUUUGGGCCUUAAAACAUCGACUGUCCACCCCAACACACUCCUUCCAUCUGCUGUCCUGAGCAAUUAAGUAUAGCAUGUGGAUUCAGCUACUUCUCCACAGAAGUGCAAAGCAAAUGGUCAUGUCUAGAGAGUAGCCCUGUGUAAUACAUCUUCAGAUCCGGCCGCAUGCUUUACUCUAUGUAAUUAUUAUACUUCAUAUAUCAAACUAAACAGUGUAAAAUAAAUAUUUUCCAAAUUAAAAAAAAAGUCCUCAAAAGUAACCCCCCAUCUCUUACUGGGCCAAAUUUUAUAAUAUUUUUAUCUAACAGCCAUCUUUGUAGGAAACCAAACAUUACAAAAAUAAUGUAGCAUCACUAAAGCUUAGACAUAUACAGAAGGGGUAGGAGGAAGAGCAAUGUUAUGAUAAAGUUCUAACUGCCCUACAUUUUCUGCUGAAUGGUUUUUAAAACUACUGAUCUCUUGCUUCCCGGAAUCUGUGUAAAUAUGUCUACUAAACACAGUUUUAAAUGACUGUAAUGUAGUUGGUUUGCUCAUCUCUUAAUAUGCUCCUUUAAAAAAAAAAAGGCAUUAUUUACAUUCGGCAUCUGGAAUAUCUGGGAAGUUUUUUCAUCUAG